rnacentral:tRNA from 1 species
GGAUGUGUGCCCGAGACUCAGGGAUUACUUUGAUAGAGUAAACCACAGGGACUUAUGAACCCCUCACCUCCU